ACUGUUCAAUAUAAAGAAAGACUGAUGGAAUGGAUGAUAAAACACAACCCCAUGAUCUGUUGCUUACAAGAAACACACUUCACCUAUAAAGAUAUACAUAGACUGAAAAUAAAGGGUAGAAAAAGAUAUUCUACACCAA